rnacentral:tRNA from 1 species
GAUUAAAUGGCUGAAAUAUUAAGCAAUAAAUUGUAAAUUUAUAUAUGAAAUUAAAAUUUUCUUUAAUCA